rnacentral:pre_miRNA from 1 species
UGUAUGUGUCACAUGUCCUGCAGAGAGAUAAUGAGGACAUGUGACACUCAACAUACAUUAUCUCUCUGCAGGACAUGUGACACAUACAUU